GUACACAAAAAUGCACAUGCUGUGAGCUCGAUGAGUAGGGCGGGACACGUGGUAUCCUGUCUGAAUAUGGGGGGACCAUCCUCCAAGGCUAAAUACUCCUGACUGACCGAUAGUGAACCAGUACCGUGAGGGAAAGGCGAAAAGAACCCCGGCGAGGGGAGUGAAAAAGAACCUGAAACCGUGUACGUACAAGCAGUGGGAGCACGCUUAGGCGUGUGACUGCGUACCUUUUGUAUAAUGGGUCAGCGACUUAUAUUCUGUAGCAAGGUUAACCGAAUAGGGGAGCCGAAGGGAAACCGAGUCUUAACUGGGCGUUAAGUUGCAGGGUAUAGACCCGAAACCCGGUGAUCUAGCCAUGGGCAGGUUGAAGGUUGGGUAACACUAACUGGAGGACCGAACCGACUAAUGUUGAAAAAUUAGCGGAUGACUUGUGGCUGGGGGUGAAAGGCCAAUCAAACCGGGAGAUAGCUGGUUCUCCCCGAAAGCUAUUUAGGUAGCGCCUCGUGAAUUCAUCUCCGGGGGUAGAGCACUGUUUCGGCAAGGGGGUCAUCCCGACUUACCAACCCGAUGCAAACUGCGAAUACCGGAGAAUGUUAUCACGGGAGACACACGGCGGGUGCUAACGUCCGUCGUGAAGAGGGAAACAACCCAGACCGCCAGCUAAGGUCCCAAAGUCAUGGUUAAGUGGGAAACGAUGUGGGAAGGCCCAGACAGCCAGGAUGUUGGCUUAGAAGCAGCCAUCAUUUAAAGAAAGCGUAAUAGCUCACUGGUCGAGUCGGCCUGCGCGGAAGAUGUAACGGGGCUAAACCAUGCACCGAAGCUGCGGCAGCGACACUGUGUGUUGUUGGGUAGGGGAGCGUUCUGUAAGCCUGCGAAGGUGUGCUGUGAGGCAUGCUGGAGGUAUCAGAAGUGCGAAUGCUGACAUAAGUAACGAUAAAGCGGGUGAAAAGCCCGCUCGCCGGAAGACCAAGGGUUCCUGUCCAACGUUAAUCGGGGCAGGGUGAGUCGACCCCUAAGGCGAGGCCGAAAGGCGUAGUCGAUGGGAAACAGGUUAAUAUUCCUGUACUUGGUGUUACUGCGAAGGGGGGACGGAGAAGGCUAUGUUGGCCGGGCGACGGUUGUCCCGGUUUAAGCGUGUAGGCUGGUUUUCCAGGCAAAUCCGGAAAAUCAAGGCUGAGGCGUGAUGACGAGGCACUACGGUGCUGAAGCAACAAAUGCCCUGCUUCCAGGAAAAGCCUCUAAGCAUCAGGUAACAUCAAAUCGUACCCCAAACCGACACAGGUGGUCAGGUAGAGAAUACCAAGGCGCUUGAGAGAACUCGGGUGAAGGAACUAGGCAAAAUGGUGCCGUAACUUCGGGAGAAGGCACGCUGAUAUGUAGGUGAAGUCCCUCGCGGAUGGAGCUGAAAUCAGUCGAAGAUACCAGCUGGCUGCAACUGUUUAUUAAAAACACAGCACUGUGCAAACACGAAAGUGGACGUAUACGGUGUGACGCCUGCCCGGUGCCGGAAGGUUAAUUGAUGGGGUCAGCGCAAGCGAAGCUCUUGAUCGAAGCCCCGGUAAACGGCGGCCGUAACUAUAACGGUCCUAAGGUAGCGAAAUUCCUUGUCGGGUAAGUUCCGACCUGCACGAAUGGCGUAAUGAUGGCCAGGCUGUCUCCACCCGAGACUCAGUGAAAUUGAACUCGCUGUGAAGAUGCAGUGUACCCGCGGCAAGACGGAAAGACCCCGUGAACCUUUACUAUAGCUUGACACUGAACAUUGAGCCUUGAUGUGUAGGAUAGGUGGGAGGCUUUGAAGUGUGGACGCCAGUCUGCAUGGAGCCGACCUUGAAAUACCACCCUUUAAUGUUUGAUGUUCUAACGUUGACCCGUGAUCCGGGUUGCGGACAGUGUCUGGUGGGUAGUUUGACUGGGGCGGUCUCCUCCUAAAGAGUAACGGAGGAGCACGAAGGUUGGCUAAUCCUGGUCGGACAUCAGGAGGUUAGUGCAAUGGCAUAAGCCAGCUUGACUGCGAGCGUGACGGCGCGAGCAGGUGCGAAAGCAGGUCAUAGUGAUCCGGUGGUUCUGAAUGGAAGGGCCAUCGCUCAACGGAUAAAAGGUACUCCGGGGAUAACAGGCUGAUACCGCCCAAGAGUUCAUAUCGACGGCGGUGUUUGGCACCUCGAUGUCGGCUCAUCACAUCCUGGGGCUGAAGUAGGUCCCAAGGGUAUGGCUGUUCGCCAUUUAAAGUGGUACGCGAGCUGGGUUUAGAACGUCGUGAGACAGUUCGGUCCCUAUCUGCCGUGGGCGCUGGAGAACUGAGGGGGGCUGCUCCUAGUACGAGAGGACCGGAGUGGACGCAUCACUGGUGUUCGGGUUGUCAUGCCAAUGGCACUGCCCGGUAGCUAAAUGCGGAAGAGAUAAGUGCUGAAAGCAUCUAAGCACGAAACUUGCCCCGAGAUGAGUUCUCCCUGACUCCUUGAGAGUCCUGAAGGAACGUUGAAGACGACGACGUUGAUAGGCCGGGUGUGUAAGCGCAGCGAUGCGUUGAGCUAACCGGUACUAAUGAACCGUGAGGCUUAACCU
rnacentral:rRNA from 1 species